UACAGAGGUGCCAAGCGUUAGGCGGAAUCACUGGGCUUAAAGCGCGUGUAGGUGGACGGGUAAGUAUCUUGUGAAAUCCCACGGCUCAACCGUGGAACUGCUGGAUAUACUGCUUGUCUUGAGGCACUUAGGGGCGAGCUGGAACAAAUGGUGGAGCGGUGAAAUGCGUAGAUAUCAUUUGGAACGCCAAAGGCGAAAGCAGGCUGCUGGGAGUGAUCUGACACUGAGACGCGAAAGCCAAGGGGAGCAAACGGG
rnacentral:rRNA from 1 species